AUACGCAUACUCACACGCACGCACAGACUCAUAUAUAUAUAUAUAUAUGUGUGUGUAUGUCUGCUGGAACGCCAGCGCCUGCACGUCUUCGCAUUCGGUCCUCUUUUGCCAACUCUCUUCUCCCUUUCGCCUUCGAUUAUUUUAGCUUGAUCGUGUUGGUCACGCCGAUCCAUUUGCACCCGGGGUGAGGCAGCGGCUACCAGCACAACGACUCGUUGCCGCGCCACUCGAAGCUCACCAACGCCAGUCUGCGUGUGUGUGUGUGUGUGUGUGUCGGUCUUCGCUAUUAGGGCCGGAGAUCAGUAUCAACCUUUGCGGCACAGCACCCUCCUCCCUCCAUCGCUCUCUCAGCUGAUUGCCAUGUCCGGCCUUCGCCAGCUGAUCAUCUCGGCCUUCUUCCUGGUGAUGGGCUUCCUAUUCCUGAUUUUGGGCUGCACCGUUGUAAGGAAGCGAAAUGCGUGGCCUUUGAUGAGCCUUGCGCUCUACUGCUUCGCCCCCGUCCCCUUCUUCUUGUGUGGUCGCGGCGCCGACAGCGACGACUUCAUCGACUUUGAUGACGAGCCGCUGGAUGCCUUCAGCACAGUCGGCCUCUUCAUGGGCGGUGUGCUGCUUAUAUCGGGUCCAGGUCUGGCGGUGGUGCUCUAUCACACCUCCGUGAUUUGCGGCUUGGCACUCUUCUUCACGCUCCUCAGCGGGGUGUGCUUCAUCGCGGCGGGCGUGUCACUCACCGUCGCUGAUGGUGGCGAUGGCGACGACGCUGCUGACGGGUACAACUUCUAAAAUGCGGAACAGGAAUCCGGAAGAGCCACGUUGGCGGACGUAUUGAUGCGUCUGUGUGCACUCCUCCUCUUCUGCUAUUCAUACCCUCGCCACACGUACGCACGGCGCGUAAGACGGUGAGCCAUGCUUGCGUCGUACGAAGCAUUCUGUUGCUGGAUCUGUCUCUCUCUCUCUCUUGGCGGUCUUGCUUUUUUUUUCUCGGGUUGUGCGUCCUUGUUGGGCAGGGAAGAGGAAAGGGGAAACGCACACGAGGAAACACACACUCCGCUGCCUCUGCCUCUCUGCCUUCCGCAGGGGACCACCUCGCUCCAUCUCACCCUUUUCGUCUUUGCUCUCGUUGUCUGCUGCGGCUCUGCGUGGAAGUCGACGACGGUCACGGCGAGGAGGCGGGAUUGUGUGUGUGUGUGGGGGGGGGAGGGGAGGAUGGUGCCACCGAAAGAGUAGCGCACCAGCGAGAUCACGUCACACGAGGCUGUUCUGCCGUCCUCUUCUUCUUUCUGUGCUGUUGUGCUGUAUCAUCACUCGUUCUGUCUGCGUGUGUCUCCGCCUCUGCCCUCGCUCGCCUUCUUGGCCUCAGCGACAGCGGCCAGAACAGCAUCCCCCUCCCCCUCGGCUGAGCUUGUCUGGCAGGAGAACGAGGUGAAGGGAGGGGGUCACGCAGGUAAGAGACCACCUGCAUGGACGGUAUGCGCCUUUUUC
rnacentral:misc_RNA from 1 species